GAUGAACGCUGGCGGCGUGCCUAAUACAUGCAAGUCGAGCGAAAAGACGAGGAGCUUGCUCCUCUGACGUUAGCGGCGGACGGGUGAGUAACGCGUGGAUCACCUCCUUAUAAGACUGGGAUAACUUCGGGAAACCGGCGCUAAUCCCGGAUAAUAUAUUGAACCGCAUGGUUCAAUGGUGAAUGUCGGUUUUGCUGUCUCUUAUAGAUGGAUCCGCGCUGCAUUAGCUAGUUGGUACGGUAACGGCCUACCAAGGCAACGAGGCGUAGCCGAACUGAGAGGGUGAUCGGCCACACUGGAACUGGGACAGGGUCCAGACUCCUACGGGACGGAGCAGUAGGGAAUCGUCGGCAAUGGGCGAAAGCCUGACGGAGCAACGCCGCGUGAGUGAUGAAGGUCUUGCGAGCGUAAAGCUCUGUUAUGAGGGAAGAACAAAUGUGUAAGUAACUAUGGACGUCUUGACGGUACCUAAUCAGAAAGCCACGGCUAACUACGUG
rnacentral:rRNA from 1 species